AGAAGCACAACUAUGAGACGGAUAGAAUCACAUUUCUUUAUCUCUCCUGAAUCCGCUUACAUUCUUCCUCUGUCACUGCAGAACUACCCACCGCCCCCUUUACUCUUAUUGCCAGAAACGAGAGAACGGCAAGAUUCUUUCCUCCAAUUCUCUUUUCAGUCUUUUGUCCAGCUCUUCCGUGGCACUGAAUGUGUCACAGGUCUUUUCUCAGCAUUUCAGGAAAUUCCUCAGUCUGCCAAGGUCAUGCCUGAGAACCUGAGAACCGGAGGGAGGCUGCCUGAGAAGAAUUCCUUUCAUCCGGUCUUGGGGGAAUGAGUAGAAACAGCAAAGGAUUGAUGCCUAAAAAGUAAGCUGGAGCCUAUCCCAGCUGACAGAGUGAGAGGCGAGUGACACCCUGGACACAGAGGAACCUUUUUAUUUUGGCUUUUCAUCCACAUGGCAACAGGGUUCUGGGUGACUUGCCAUGAUAUCUAUAGAGAAAUGAGUUCCAGAGUGGGAAACUCUGACAACGCUACCUUGUCGUUGACAAACAAACCGCUACUUUUUUGGGAACGAUGACGUCGCCGCACUGUCACGUGGCAAGAAGAACGCGAGAAAACCACACUUGCAACAACUGGAAACAAGAACAACAACAAUUUUGAACAACAGAGUUUUGUUUCUUCUGCAGUUUGAUGUGGAAAUCUUUGGGCGCCCCACAAUUCGAUUACGAUUCAAGGGCUACGAUGCCAUUAUAAAUCUAUUGUUUAUGCAUCUUUAAUAUUGUAUAUCAAUAUUAUCUCUUAUAAAUGUAUAUCAAUGAUGUCCAUAAAAGGCUCCUCCUUUGGGUGCUACCAUAUACACAGUAUUGCGUCAUUCAAAUACAACAUUGUGAAGCUGAGCGUCACAGUCUUUUUCAAUCAGUUUAAUUGUUGCUCGUUAUGGUUCUAAUCACAUCUACAGGUGUUUUCAACACCUGAUUGAAAAGACCUUAUUCAAAUUCUGUUCUUAAGAGUUAUGAUCUUCAAGGGGUUGAAUAAUUUUGUCAAUGACAUAUUAAGAAAAAUGACACUGUUUGGUAUGUUACAAAAUAUAAUGUUGU